rnacentral:rRNA from 1 species
GACGUAGGGCGCAAGCGUUGUCCGGAAUUAUUGGGCGUAAAGAGCGUGUAGGCGGUUCGGUAAGUCUGCCGUGAAAACCUGGGGCUCAACCCCGGGCGUGCGGUGGAUACUGCCGGCUAGAGGGUGGUAGAGGCGAGUGGAAUUCCCGGUGUAGCGGUGAAAUGCGCAGAUAUCGGGAGGAACACCAGUAGCGAAGGCGGCAUCCUGGACCGGCAUUGACGCUGAGGCGCG